rnacentral:rRNA from 1 species
GACGGGGGGGGCAAGUGUUCUUCGGAAUGACUGGGCGUAAAGGGCACGUAGGCGGUGAAUCGGGUUGAAAGUGAAAGUCGCCAAAAAGUGGCGGAAUGCUCUCGAAACCAAUUCACUUGAGUGAGACAGAGGAGAGUGGAAUUUCGUGUGUAGGGGUGAAAUCCGUAAAUAUACGAAGGAACGCCAAAAGCGAAGGCAGCUCUCUGGGUCCCUACCGACGCUGGGGUGCGAAAGCUAGGGGAGCAAACAGG